rnacentral:rRNA from 1 species
UAAGUUAAUAAGGGCGCACGGUGGAUGCCUUGGCACUAGGAGCCGACGAAGGACGUGACAAACGACGAUAUGCCUUGGGUAGCUGUAAGUAAGCGAUGAUCCAGGGAUUUCCGAAUGGGGGAACCCAACAGGUAAUACCUGUUACCUACAUCUGUUAAGGAUGUGAGGAGGAAGACGCAGUGAACUGAAACAUCUAAGUAGCUGCAGGAAGAGAAAGCAAAAGCGAUUGCCUUAGUAGCGGCGAGCGAAACGGCAGAAGGGCAAACCGAAGAGUUUACUCUUCGGGGUUGUAGGACUGCAAUGUGGACUCAAAGAUUAUAGAAGAAUGAUUUGGGAAGAUCAGCCAAAGAGAGUAAUAGCCUCGUAUUUAAAAUAGUCUUUGUACUUAGCAGUAUCCUGAGUACGGCGGGACACGUGAAAUCCCGUCGGAAUCUGGGAGGACCAUCUCCCAACCCUAAAUACUCCCUAGUGACCGAUAGUGAACCAGUACCGUGAGGGAAAGGUGAAAAGCACCCCGGGAGGGGAGUGAAAUAGAACCUGAAACCGUGUGCCUACAACAAGUUCGAGCCCGUUAAUGGGUGAGAGCGUGCCUUUUGUAGAAUGAACCGGCGAGUUACGUUAUGAUGCGAGGUUAAGUUGAAGAGACGGAGCCGUAGGGAAACCGAGUCUGAAUAGGGCGCCUUAGUAUCAUGACGUAGACCCGAAACCAUGUGACCUACCCAUGAGCAGGUUGAAGGUGCGGUAAGACGCACUGGAGGACCGAACCAGGGCACGUUGAAAAGUGCUUGGAUGACUUGUGGGUAGCGGAGAAAUUCCAAACGAACUUGGAGAUAGCUGGUUCUCUCCGAAAUAGCUUUAGGGCUAGCGUCGACAUUAGAGAUUCUUGGAGGUAGAGCACUGUUUGGGUGAGGGGUCCAUCCCGGAUUACCAAUCUCAGAUAAACUCCGAAUGCCAAUGAAUUAUGGUCGGCAGUCAGACUGCGAGUGCUAAGAUCCGUAGUCGAAAGGGAAACAGCCCAGACCACCAGCUAAGGUCCCAAAAUAAUUGUUAAGUGGAAAAGGAUGUGGGGUUGCACAGACAACUAGGAUGUUAGCUUAGAAGCAGCUAUUCAUUCAAAGAGUGCGUAAUAGCUCACUAGUCGAGUGACCCUGCGCCGAAAAUGUACCGGGGCUAAAACAAUUUACCGAAGCUGUGGAUACCUUUAUAGGUAUGGUAGGAGAGCGUUCUAUGUGUGAUGAAGGUAUACCGUGAGGAGUGCUGGAACGCAUAGAAGUGAGAAUGCCGGUAUGAGUAGCGAAAGACAGGUGAGAAUCCUGUCCACCGUAAGACUAAGGUUUCCAGGGGAAGGCUCGUCCGCCCUGGGUUAGUCGGGACCUAAGGAGAGACCGAAAGGUGUAUCCGAUGGACAACAGGUUGAUAUUCCUGUACUAGAGUAUGUAGUGAUGGAGGGACGCAGUAGGCUAACUAAAGCAGACGAUUGGAAGAGUCUGUCUAAGCAGUGAGGUGUGAAUUGAGUCAAAUGCUUAAUUCUAUAACAUUGAGCUGUGAUGGGGAGCGAAGUUUAGUAGCGAAGUUAGUGACGUCACACUGCCAAGAAAAGCUUCUAGCGUUUAAACAUACUCUACCCGUACCGCAAACCGACACAGGUAGUCGAGGCGAGUAGCCUCAGGUGAGCGAGAGAACUCUCGUUAAGGAACUCGGCAAAAUGACCCCGUAACUUCGGGAGAAGGGGUGCUGACUUAAAGUCAGCCGCAGUGAAUAGGCCCAAGCAACUGUUUAUCAAAAACACAGCUCUCUGCUAAAUCGUAAGAUGAUGUAUAGGGGGUGACGCCUGCCCGGUGCUGGAAGGUUAAGAGGAGUGCUUAGCGUAAGCGAAGGUAUGAAUUGAAGCCCCAGUAAACGGCGGCCGUAACUAUAACGGUCCUAAGGUAGCGAAAUUCCUUGUCGGGUAAGUUCCGACCCGCACGAAAGGCGUAAUGAUUUGGGCACUGUCUCAACGAGAGACUCGGUGAAAUUUUAGUACCUGUGAAGAUGCAGGUUACCCGCGACAGGACGGAAAGACCCCAUGGAGCUUUACUGCAGUUUGAUAUUGAGUGUCUGUACCACAUGUACAGGAUAGGUAGGAGUCUAAGAGAUCGGGACGCCAGUUUCGAAGGAGACGCUGUUGGGAUACUACCCUUGUGUUAUGGCCACUCUAACCCAGAUAGGUGGUCCCUAUCGGAGACAGUGUCUGACGGGCAGUUUGACUGGGGCGGUCGCCUCCUAAAAGGCAACGGAGGCGCCCAAAGGUUCCCUCAGAAUGGUUGGAAAUCAUUCGCAGAGUGUAAAGGUAUAAGGGAGCUUGACUGCGAGAGCUACAACUCGAGCAGGGACGAAAGUCGGGCUUAGUGAUCCGGUGGUUCCGUAUGGAAGGGCCAUCGCUCAACGGAUAAAAGCUACCCUGGGGAUAACAGGCUUAUCUCCCCCAAGAGUUCACAUCGACGGGGAGGUUUGGCACCUCGAUGUCGGCUCGUCGCAUCCUGGGGCUGUAGUCGGUCCCAAGGGUUGGGCUGUUCGCCCAUUAAAGCGGCACGCGAGCUGGGUUCAGAACGUCGUGAGACAGUUCGGUCCCUAUCCGUCGCGGGCGUAGGAAAUUUGAGAGGAUCUGCUCCUAGUACGAGAGGACCAGAGUGGACUUACCGCUGGUGUACCAGUUGUCUUGCCAAAAGGCAUCGCUGGGUAGCUAUGUAGGGAAGGGAUAAACGCUGAAAGCAUCUAAGUGUGAAACCCACCUCAAGAUGAGAUUUCCCAUGAUUAUAUAUCAGUAAGAGCCCUGAGAGAUGAUCAGGUAGAUAGGUUAGAAGUGGAAGUGUGGCGACACAUGUAGCGGACUAAUACUAAUAGCUCGAGGACUUAUCCA